rnacentral:lncRNA from 1 species
UCUUUGCUCUGUUCUCGUUACACGAAAACGAGCAAAGAGGGGCAGCUGUAGAAGCCCAAAUUUGCUGGCCUAGUAAAAAUAAUAACCCAAUCACAAAUGGGCCCAAAAAUUAAAAACCUAGCCCAAACAACAUUAACAUUUUCAGCAGAAAUGAGUAAAAGAAACCCUAGGAGCCGCAUGCCUCGGGUGGCCUCCUCGUCUGCCACCCCCAGCCACCAGGCACCUUCAGCGCACGCCUCUGAC